rnacentral:rRNA from 1 species
UCAGGACGAACGCUGGCGGCGUGCCUAACACAUGCAAGUCGAACGGGGUUGAGUGCUUCGGCAUUCAACUUAGUGGCGAACGGGUGAGUAACGCGUGAAGAACCUGCCUUCAGUGGGGGACAACAGUUGGAAACGACUGCUAAUACCGCAUGACACUUUUUGGGGGCAUCCCCGAGAAGUCAAAGCUUUAUGUGCUGAAAGAUGGCUUCGCGUCUGAUUAGCUAGAUGGCGGGGUAAAGGCUCACCUAGGCGACGAUCUCUAGCUGGUCUGAGAGGAUGAUCAGCCACAUUGGGACUGAGACACGGCCCAGACUCCUACGGGAGGCAGCAGUAGGGAAUAUUGCACAAUGGAGGAAACUCUGAUGCAGCCAUGCCGCGUGUGUGAAGAAGGCCUUCGGGUUGUAAAGCACUUUCGGAGGGGAGGAAAAGAUGACGUUACCCUCAGAAGAAGCACCGGCUAACUCCGUG